AGAGUUUGAUCAUGGCUCAGGACGAACGCUGGCGGCGUGCCUAAUGCAUGCAAGUCGAGCGGGCUACGAUCUUCGGAUUGUAGCUUAGCGGCGAACGGGUGAGUAACACGUAGGUGAUCUACCCUUCAGAGGAGGACAACCUCAGGAAACUGAGGCUAAACCUUCAUACGUUCACUGGUAGGGAUACUGGUGAAGAAAGAGUUACCCCUAGAGGGUAGCUGCUGAAGGAUGAGCCUGCGGCCCAUCAGGUAGUUGGUGAGGUAACGGCUCACCAAGCCGAAGACGGGUAACCGGUCUGAGAGGAUGUCCGGUCACACUGGGACUGAGACACGGCCCAGACUCCUACGGGAGGCAGCAGCAGGGAAUCUUGGGCAAUGGGCGAAAGCCUGACCCAGCGACGCCGCGUGGAGGAAGAAGUCCUUCGGGGCGUAAACUCCUGGACUGGGGGACGAGUAAGGACGGUACCCCAGUAGAAAGGGACGGCUAACUACGUGCCAGCAGCCGCGGUAAAACGUAGGUCCCGAGCGUUGUUCGGAUUCACUGGGUGUAAAGGGCGCGUAGGUGGUUGUCUGUGUCUCAUGUGAGAACUCAGGGCUCAACUCUGAGAUUGCGUGGGAAACUAGGCAGCUAGAGGACGGUAGAGGGGAGUGGAAUUCCCGGUGUAGCGGUAAAAUGCGUAGAUAUCGGGAGGAACACCGGUGGCGAAGGCGGCUCUCUGGGCCGAUCCUGACGCUGAGGCGCGAAAGCUAGGGGAGCGAACCGGAUUAGAUACCCGGGUAGUCCUAGCCGUAAACGAUGGGUGCUAGGUGUUGGGGGGUAAAGACCCUUCAGUGCCGAAGCCAACGCGAUAAGCAUCCCACCUGGGGAGUACGGCCGCAAGGUUGAAACUCAAAUGAAUUGACGG
rnacentral:rRNA from 1 species